rnacentral:rRNA from 1 species
GGGAGGCAGCAGUGGGGAAUAUUGCACAAUGGGCGCAAGCCUGAUGCAGCAACGCCGCGUGAGGGACGACGGCCUUCGGGUUGUAAACCUCUUUUAGUAGGGAAGAAGCGAAAGUGACGGUACCUGCAGAAAAAGCACCGGCUAACUACGUGCCAGCAGCCGCGGUAAUACGUAGGGUGCAAGCGUUGUCCGGAAUUAUUGGGCGUAAAGAGCUCGUAGGCGGUUUGUCGCGUCUGCUGUGAAAUCCCGAGGCUCAACCUCGGGCCUGCAGUGGGUACGGGCAGACUAGAGUGCGGUAGGGGAGAUUGGAAUUCCUGGUGUAGCGGUGGAAUGCGCAGAUAUCAGGAGGAACACCGAUGGCGAAGGCAGAUCUCUGGGCCGUAACUGACGCUGAGGAGCGAAAGCGUGGGGAGCGAACAGGAUUAGAUACCCUGGUAGUCCACGCCGUAAACGUUGGGAACUAGAUGUGGGGACCAUUCCACGGUCUCCGUGUCGCAGCUAACGCAUUAAGUUCCCCGCCUGGGGAGUACGGCCGCAAGGCUAAAACUCAAAGGAAUUGACGGGGGCCCGCACAAGCGGCGGAGCAUGCGGAUUAAUUCGAUGCAACGCGAAGAACCUUACCAAGGCUUGACAUAUACCGGAAACGGCUGGAAACAGUCGCCCCGCAAGGUCGGUAUACAGGUGGUGCAUGGUUGUCGUCAGCUCGUGUCGUGAGAUGUUGGGUUAAGUCCCGCAACGAGCGCAACCCUCGUUCUAUGUUGCCAGCACGUAAUGGUGGGAACUCAUAGGAGACUGCCGGGGUCAACUCGGAGGAAGGUGGGGAUGACGUCAAAUCAUCAUGCCCCUUAUGUCUUGGGCUUCACGCAUGCUACAAUGGCCGGUACAAAGGGCUGCAAUACCGUAAGGUGGAGCGAAUCCCAAAAAGCCGGUCUCAGUUCGGAUUGAGGUCUGCAACUCGACCUCAUGAAGUCGGAGUCGCUAGUAAUCGCAGAUCAGCAACGCUGCGGUGAAUACGUUCCCGGGCCUUGUACACACCGCCCGUCAAGUCAUGAAAGUCGGUAACACC